AGCAUGCAGUUCAAAAGCUAAACCUCCCAUUGGAGAACAGAAAAUUUAAUGAGCUUUUAAUGGAAUGCAAUGCUCAGAGUAGUAAAUUAUUUGUUAGUUGACGAUGCAAUCAGCAUGCUGAUUAAGGUUGCUUGGUUUUUUACUAAACAUUAACUGAAUGAAAACGGGUAGUCCUUGUUCUGCUUGGGGGGCUUUAAGGAAGCAAAUGGACUUUCAGAACAGAGAUUGUCAAUAAAGAAAUAGGUUGACACAUGCCUUCUGGGAUUAUGGUUUGAAGAUUCUGUCACCAGAUGUUUUACAUUUGAUUCCACUGGAAAAAUACCGUGUGAUAAGUAACUUGCAUGAGAAGAUUAGUAUGCGCCCGACACAAGACUUCGCUGAAUGAAGGGUCAGAAGAAAGGAACUCUACCAAAAUGGAGGUCCCUUCUCUGGAAGAAGGGGACACUGAAAAUCAGUGAAGACAACAGAGUUGCUCAAUGUCACAUAGUUAGUAGUAAAGCUGACCCAGAACUCAGGUCUCCUAUUUCCCAGGCCACUGCUAUCCAAGACACCAAGCCACUGAAUUUCAAGAUUCCAACUCAGGGCCUGGUUUUGCAGA